rnacentral:lncRNA from 1 species
UUUUUUUUGGGUGAACCUGUUGGUUGAUUUGCUUGCAGAAGCUUGUGUGAGAAUAUGAGUUCCCAGCUAUGCCCACCGUGAAAGGAUAGGACGAGUGAGGGCAACCAUCAUCAAUUCAGUGAAGAUAUACUGCUAACUGCCUAUUUUGAAUAAAAGAAAUACAAUAUAAUACGAACAGCAUGGUUUGGCAAACAGAGCUGAGAAAUACUACCUCCGUCUCAAACUGUCUAGCCUACAAAAACGUCUUACAUUUUGAGAUGGAGGUGGUACCUCACUUCCCAAGAGAGCAAACAUUCAGAAUGCAUAUUCCACCAUAAUUCAUCAAAAAGAGCAAUUCAAAUUACGGAAGCUGCACUUUGCAAGUAGUAUAUCACUACCAACAGGCAAAAUCACAGCAUGACAUGGUGCAGUUGGGUGGCUGCACAGGCAUUACUCUUUAGAAGACUGUUGUUUCUAGGUAGUAUUAAUGUUAUCGACAACACAUUCCAGUAGACAGUUAAGAUAUACUGCAAACUGCCUGCGUUGAACAGAAAAAUAUAUACUAUAAUAGAAUACCAUGGUUUGACAAACAAAGCUGAGAAAUAUUUCACUUUCCAAGCUAGCAAACAUCCAGAAUGCAUAUUCCACUAUAUCCAAUUCAACAAAUAGAGCAAUUCAAAUUAUGAAAGCUGCACUUUGCAAGAACACAUCACUCUACCUACAGGCAAAAUCACAACAAGACAGGGUGCCUAACAGUAGGGUGGCUGCACAGGCAUCACCCUUUAGAACGCUGUUUCUAGGUAUGGAACUUGGUAUGGUUCAUAGGUAUAUACUGCAACUCUGCAACACAUUCUGGAUGUUUGCUAAGGCUGAAGCGCCGGAUGAAUCACAUAGCUUGUAUCUGAACUAACUCAACACCACAAGCUACUUACAACUGCUGUACACAAAUGAGGUUUUAGAGACUUGUGUCAAGUCUCUAAAACGUCUUAUAUUUGUUUACAGAGGGAGUAGAAUUCUACCUCCUAAUUGUAUAGCUUAAUGCUUGACCAAAUAUUGACACUUCUAGACAUGCUAAACCAUUCUUCAAAGUUGGUUAAUCCAGUCAUCUCUAAACACUAAGCUCCUAAUAACAGUUCAAGUAAGUAACUCUACAUAAACUACACUUCUGCUAAUGCCUCUUGGCUUGAGUGAUUCUGGAAAUUAACCUUAUACUCUCUCCGUCCAAGCUUGAAAAACGAUCUUAUAUUGUGGGACGGAGGGAGUAGUGAAUAAGAACAUUGGACAACACCAUAGUGAUGGUGUAUGCUUGUUAGCCUAAAAGGACAGGAACAGAAUGACAACUGAUGCAUCUCUAAGUACAUCAUAUACUGCAUAUAAAGAAAACAUCAUCAUAAAACUAAUUGGCCGUUGACAGAAAACAAAGAAAAUCUAAUGGGAAGAAAAGAACAACAUGUUUUCAUGCUGUGACUUGAAAUUGAUCGUAUAACUGAUAUUCACCACACUAUCAAUUUAUCAGUAUCAAAGGAACGAAAUUCCUUUUUACGAGUUGCAAUAAAUAUCGGCAAUAGCUCAGUUCAGGCAAUUGAAACAACAGGAAGAGGAUACCAAGUUGACCUGUUGUAUUAGGAAUCAAAACUUAGAUCUAACAACAAACAACAUAGCCACCGGACUCAGAAAAAGGUUUCACCUUUGUGGCCUGGCCACCCCUCAUACCGCGGAGGGCUCCUCCAUAUCCCUGUCCCUGCCACGGCCGUUGGCGCCGGCGCCCCCACCGUGGUGAGGCGGGUCAACGGCACUGAGGCCAUCAGGCAUGAGGGAGGCCGGGCGGUUCUCGAUGACCUCGUCUAUAAGCCCCCAUUCGCGGGCCUCCUCGGGGUCCAUGAAAAGGUCACGCUCCAUGCACUGCUCGAUCUUGUCGAUGUUCUGGCCCGUGUGCUUGGCGUAGAUCUUGUUGAGGCGGUCGCGCAGCUUGAGUAUCUCCUUGGCCUGGAUGGCGAUGUCGGUGGCCUGGCCCUGGGCCCCGCCGGAGGGCUGGUGGAUCAUGACCCUGGCGUUGGGCAGCGCCCGCCUCUCCCCGCGCGCGCCGGCGGCGAGGAGGAGGGAGCCCAUGGAGGCGGCCUGGCCGAUGCAGAUGGUGUUGACGGGGCAGCGGAUGUACUGCAUGGUGUCGUAGAUGGCGAGCCCGGCGGUGACGACGCCCCCGGGGGAGUUGAUGUAGAGGCUGAUGGGCUUGAGCGG